CAAGCAUGGACAGAUCGGCAGCUCACCAUAACGAUGGAAACGUUUUAGGUGUAAAUGGCAGGGAACAAAUGCCGUGUGAAUGGAAAGCAAUCCACAAUGUUUAGUACCCGAAGAUGUAAGGGAAUCCCUGGAAGAUCCAUGGCCAAGAGUCUUCAAAAUCUUGUACAGCGCUUGUGAUGUUGGAGCUGCCAACAGAUGAAAGCCAUUUGGAUGGAAAUUCUACAUUUAUUUUUCCAGAAAGUCCCUGGAAGCAAUGUGGCCCUGAGUCUUCUGGAAUCUGGGGGAGUUGCCAAUGAAUGAAUACCUUUGGGAUGCGAAGACUAUCCACUUAUCUUAACACAUGUAGAUUACUGGGAGUCCCUGAAAGCUUUGAGGACCCAGUGACCUCUGGAAGCUGGUAGAUGUCUUGGUGAUAAGCAUGUUGUUUUCCUUGUUAAAUGGCCAGAUGUUCUCCUCAGGAGUAAAUAGACUUAAGGUAACUUUCUUUUCAUGUCACUAAUAGCAUGACGAUAUCCACUCCCUGAGUGCCUUGCCUUUCUAUCUGCUCAGUGGCCUGACUCUUGAUAUUCCAAGGUACUGAGAAUUUGGGGCUCAAGGGCGCUCUAUACCCCAGUCUGCAACUUUAAAAUACUAGGGUCUAGGAAUGUGCUUGAAUCGAUGAAGCCACCCAAAUAUGCAUUCCUUGGGGAACCUGAACAAAAUGAGUCUAAAAUCCCCACCAUCUUCUCCCCUUGCAUGCAGUUCCUGCACAUCAUCUCAGUCCAGGGAACAUAAGAGUAAGGGGCAACAUCUGUGAAUUGCUUUCAUUCCCAGACAGAGUGGUUGUAAACUUGGAUGGCUCAUGCAAGUGGGACACUAGAAAGUUUCAAUUUUACAGAAUGCCGUGAUGAGGGAACCUUGUCUUGAAUUGGUCAUUUCAUGAUGUCUUUAUUCCCAGGAAGUUUCAAGUUUUCCAGAAUGUGUGGGUGAGGAUUUGGGAGGGCAUGUGUGACAUCACAGUUUGAGGCCAUGCAGGUCACUUAAUCCCCAUAUAGCCCUCAGCUACCCAUCUCUAGAAGUGUAGCAGGUUGGUAAUGUCAUGACGAGAGCCUAAGGUAAGUUAUUAGUAAUCUUUUCCUUGGUUUUGUCAUUCGGUUAGGUAAAUUGUGUGCCAGUGCUGAUUGUGUUGAUUGAAUGGAAACCAGAUUCAGAUGUUUUGAGACCUCUUGAAAGUAUUGCCAGAAUGCUGUAAAAACUGUCCUACCUUGUACCUUGAGCAGUGACAUAAAAAUAAAAUGAAAAUGCUAUUUCUGGCUGCUGGGCCAGAUGAAGAAGAAACUGGCAGUUGCUUAUCAAAUAAUUGGGUAUCCUUAUAAGUGGCUGAACAGCUAGUUUCUCCAUAAGUUGUCAUAGGUUUCCUGUGGGGUUCUAUGGGAAUGAUAGGUUCCACUCAAUGUUGUUUAGAAUGAAGAGUUCUAGUGUCCUUGGUUAUGAGCAUUUUGGCAGAUUGCCCUGGUUUACCUGCAGUAUGUAUUCCACAGAUUUCAGCAUUAUGUUUCCCUUCACUGGGUAUUGAAGUGAUCCAUUGGCUCUCCAUUCACUCCCAUCAAACAUCUAGAAAACUUGUGACAAAAGUGUUUUCUGAAUCGUGGAACUUGGAACUCCGUUUCCUAAAUAAAGAUAUUUCUCAAGAAAUGCUCCCAGUUCAUCUGCAUCCCUAUUGGACCAUGCCCUUCAGUGGAGGUGGAAUUGGCAGGGAAUGAAUUCCAUGUGAAUGGAAAGCAGUUUGCCUGCGUUUAACACCUGCUGGAGAUGUAAGGGAUUUUCUGGAAGAUCUGUGGCCUAGAGUCUUGAACAUCGCUCAAGGCAGUAGGCAUUAUUUUUUUCCUAAUGUAUUGACAUUCUCCCAAGAAUGGGUACACAUACAGGGACUUCUUAUUUGUCAUAUCAUAAAUGGUGUGCUGAGAUGGUCUUUGAGUGACUUUGGACUUCUCUGUGAUCAAUGAUGGAGCCCUGAUAAUCGAGCAUGAAGAACUGCUUGAAGACAUCUGAUAUCCGAAUGCCAAAACCAGAGUUCAAAUUCCGCAGUGUGUGAAUGUGCUUGGAUUGAUGAUGACACCCAAAAUGCAUUCCUUGGAAGCUGAAUAAAAUAAGUGAGAACUCUAUACCAUCUCAUCUCAUCUCACUGAGGUCCAGCACUUGCAUCAUCACGAAGCAUAAAUGUGGAGAUGCCAGUGAAUGAAAGUUGUUUGGAUGGAAAUAUCCUACAUUUAUUUUAACAUUCAGAGAUUCCAGAACAUUCCUGGAAGUAACGUGGCUCUGAGUCUUCCAGAAUCCGCUGUAGUUGACAGUGAAUGAAUGGCAUUGGGAUGUGAGGAUCCUCCACAGGUGGGUGUAGAUGACUGGGAGACCCUGUAAAUGGUGAGGACCAGUGACCUCUGGACACAAUAAAUGUCUUGGCGGUCCAGCACAUGGCUUCAUUCCAACCAUGUUUGAGGGAAGUUCUCAGGUGGAGAUGCCAAUGAAUGAAAGCUAUUUGAAUGAAAAAAUUCCAAUUUUAUUUUACCACCGGGAGUUGCAUGAAAUCCCUGAAUGCAGUGAGGCCCUAAGUCCUCAGAAGCUGCUCAUCUUAACACAUGUACACAAUUGGGAGUUCCUGUAAGUUGCAUGGACCAGUGACUUCUGGAAACCUUUAUAUUGCUUCGUGUUGUAUCUGUCAGUGAGUGUGUGCCAUUGUGAUGUGAAGCUUCUCAGCUCAUCUUAACACAUGUAGCAUAUCGGGAGUUCCUGUAAGUGGACAGACAAGCGACCUCUGGAAGCCAGUAGAUUGCUUAGCAGUGGAAUUGGCAGGGCAUGAACAUGGGUGUAUAGAAAGCAAUUUGCCAUGUGUUUAAUAUCCACUCAAGACAUAAAGGAUUCCUUGAAAGAUCUUGGCCAAGAAUCUCCAGAAUCUUGGAACUGGAGUGAUUCUUUGGUCUCCCCUGUGAACCACCAAUUUUUUUCAAACACUAAGCUAAAAGUCUUGUGUGCAUCUUGCUCUAUUCACGGUGGAGAUGCCAACAAAGGAAAACCAUUUGGAUGGAAAGAUUCUAGUUUUAUUUUAACACCCAGAGGUGCAAGAAAGUCCCUGGAAGUAGUUUUGCCCUUAGUCUUCAGGAAUCUGCAGCACACACCACACCUAGAUGCACACUUGGGUGUCUUGCCUCUUAUCCAUAAGAUGUGGUAUGGAUGUGGAUACUCAGGGGACUGACAGAUUUGCACUCCUGACAUCUCCACACCCCAGCCUGCUACUGAAAUCUUCUUGACUAUAACAAUGUGCCUGGAUCGAUGAUGACACACAAAUAUGCAUUCCUUGGAAAAGCUGAACAAAAUGAGUGAGAAAUUCCUACCGUCUCCACUCAUCAAACUGAGGUCCAGCACAUUGUUUCAUUCCAAGCUGUACUUGCCAAUGAAUGAAUGGCAUUGGGAUGUGAAGAUCCUCCACAAGUGGGUGUAGAUGACUGGGAGAGCCUGUAAAUAGCGAGGACCAGCAACCUCUGGACAUGGUAAAUGUCGUGGCGGUGCGGUUGGCAGGGAAUGAAUGCAUGUGAAUGGAAAGCAAAUCACUGUAUGUUUAAUACCUGCUCUAGAUGUAAGGGAUCCCCUGGAAGAUCUUGCCCAAGAUUCUUUAGAAUCUUCUUCAUCUCUCGUGGUGGUGGAGAUGCCAAUAAAUGAAAGCCAUUUUGAUGUGAAUUUCUACUUUUACUUUAAUUCCUGAAAGUUCAAGAAAUCCUUGGAAGUGGCAUUGCCUUGUGCCUUCUGGAAUCUGCCUGCCACAUAAAACUUCUGGACUGUAACACUGUGCUUGGAUCAAUGAUGACACACAUAUAUGCAUUCCUUGGAAAAGCUGAAGAAAAUGAGUGAGAAAUCCUUACUGUCUCCUCUCAUCGAACUGAGGUGGAGAUGCCAAUGAAUGAAAACCAUUUGUAUGGAAGAAUUCUAGAUUGAUUUUAACACCCGGAGGUGCAGGGUCCCCAUCGGCAGUGUGGCCCUGAUCUUCAGGAAUCUGACUGUAACAAUGUGCUUGGAUCGAUGAUGACACAUAAAUAUACAUUCCUUGGGAAGGCUGAACAAAAUGAUUGAGAAAUCUCUACCGUCUCCUCUCAUCGAACUGAGGUCCAGCACGUCGUCUCAUUCCAAGUUGUAGUUGCCGGUGAAUGAAUGCCAUUGGGAUGCGAAGAUUCUCCCCUUAUCUUCAUACAUGGAGAUGAUCAGGAGGCCUUGUAAAAGUGGUGAAGAACAGAGACCUGUGGAAGCUGGUGGAUGGCCUGGAGGUGGAAUUGGCAGGUCAUGAAUGCCAUGUGAAUGGAAAGCAAUCCACCAGGGGUAUAAUACCAGUACAAUAUGUAAGGGAUUCCCUGGAAGAUCUCGGCCAAGAGUCUUCAGAAUUCUAUACAUCAUUCAUGGUGCAUAGUGAACAGUGACAACUUCCCAAGACGUGGAAGUCAUGAUAAUAUCUGGCUUGAAGCCCUCAUCUCAUGACAACCUGUGCAGAGACACCAAUGAAUGAAAGCCAUUUGGAUGGAAAGGGGCUACAUUUAUUUUAACAUUUGGAGAUGCAAGUAUCCCUGGAAGCAAUGUGGCCCUGAGACUUCCUGAAUCUGGUCUUCCUGAAUCUGGCUCAUGGCAUUGUAGUUGCCAGUGAAUCAUUUCCAUUGGGAUGUGAAGAUUCUCCACUUAUCUUAACACAUGUAGAUGACUGGGAGUCCCUGUGAGCUGUGAGGACCAGAGACCCCUGGAAGCUGGGAGUUGCUUGGUGGUGGAGAUGCCAAUGAAUGGAAGCCAUUUGGAUGGAAAGAGUCUACAUUUAUUUUAACACCAGUAGGUGCAAGACACUGUAAGCAGUAUGGCCCUGAGUCUUCAGGAAUUCAAUAGGCUGCACAUGGCCGUCGACUCCUUGAGUGUCUUGCCUCUUAUCCAUAUUCAAUGGUGUGGAUGUGGAUAUUCAGGGACCAACAUAUUUGUACUCCUGACAUCUCCACAUCCCAGCCUGCCACUUAAAACUUCUAGACUGUAACAUUGUGCUUGGAUCGAUGAUAACACACAAAUAUGCAUUCCUUGGAAAAGCUGAACAGAAUGAGUGAGAAAACGCUACCGUCUCCACUCAUCGAACUGAGUUCCAGCACAUUGUCUCAUUCCAAGUUGGAGUUGGCAAUGAUUGAAUGUGUCACGAUGUGAAGACUCCCCGCUUACUUUAACACAUGUAGACGAUCGGCCAUCCCUGUAAGUGGCAAGGACCAGAGAUCUCUGGAAGCCGGUAUAUGCCUUGGAGGUGGACGUGUACUACUCACAGGAUUACAUAUUGAAGAGUUAUUUCUUCCCCUUGAGACAUGGCAUGAAUGAGAGUAUCAGGAAUAAGUUGCCAUCCAUUCCUCAAGGACUAGUAUUGAUUUUCAGAUUGUAUCUUUUUCUGGCUUUCAUAUGAGAAUAAUGUUGGCCUGAUAGAAUUAAUCAGGGACUGUUACCGCCUCUUCAAUUUUUUUGGAAGAGUUUGAGCAAGAUUGGUGUUCCCUGUUUUCAGGAGUUUGGUCAUCCUCUCUGUUACCCAGGGAACAGAUCUGCUUUCUGAGGUGGAUGUAGACCAAAUACCAGCAAAUAGGUGAAAGUACUGAGUCUUCCCUUUGACAGAUGACGUGAGGAAAAGUACCGAGACUAAGUCUGUCAUCCAGUCCUCAAGGGCCAGUGGAUCAAGCACAGAAUUACAUAUGAAACAAUUAAGUUUUCCUCUCAAGACAUGACAUGAGAAGAAUAUGAAGCAUAAUUCUGCCAUCCAAUCCUCAGUGGAAUUGGGAAUUCUCACACUGAUUGGAAGUGAUGUUGAAGAGAAGGGACAAUUUGAUGAUUGGAAUUCUCACUGAAACACCCGUGAAUUAGCGGUUACGUUACUGGUAUUGGCUCUCUUCUCUGGGAAGGACAAAACGAUGCACUCCAGAGGAUUUAGGCAUGAAGAGUAACGUAGAGGGUGUUCCUUGUCACCGUGGCUGCAGGUGGUUUGGAUCGACUGAGGGCAGGCGUGUGUGACCAAAGGCUUGUGUCCUCAGCACUGUGACCUGGUGAGCUUCAGCCUGAUGGGGGAUGGGUAAAUUCCUCGAGGUGAGAAGAUCAAGUUUUGGCUGAGCCCCUUUUCAUGCUUCCUGACCUCCUAGUCACAUGUCCAUAGUUACUGCUCGUGAGCACAUCCUUCCUGAAUUGCUUUGGCCACACUGAAGGGGAUCAGAUGUGGCACAACCCUGGGCAGCCCCUGCAAAUCACCGGGUUUCCCAGCUCUAGCACAUUACGUUCUGGGGGAGAUUGUCAGGCAGUAUCUUUUUUCCCCCAAGUAUGAUUUAUUUUGUGAUUUUCUGUACUACAGUCCACUAUCGUACCUUGCAGGUAACACAGUUCUGAGAUUUAAUUUACACAGGUAAGUAAGCUUUGUUGUGAAUGGAACGGACACCUGGCUAAUAUUCUCCUGGAACAUGACACUCACAGACAUUCUGUUAGCAAUUUUAUAUUGGCUGGCAGAAAUUGUUGGACAACUCUUACUCUGAUGCAGGAUGGAGGUUAACAUAAGGAAUGUUGUUUUGAAUGUUAUUGGAAACUCCCUGGUAGAGCAAUAAUUCAGUCUAUUUUAUAUGCAGGUAGGUUAGUGAACUUUAUCCUCUUGUGCCCAGUUGACCAAGGACUGUGUAUGUUUCUCAUCUUUCAAUAUUUUUACUCUCUUCUACAGGUUGACAUUGUCCAGUGACUGGGUUUCCUAGGAAAGAGAUUGGAAGUGGUAUUUGAGGAAAGGGACAUUUUGAUGAAUGGAAUUCUCACUGGUACACCAAUGAAUUGCUGAUUUUGUCAUGUGUACCAGUUCAUUUCUCCAGAGCCUCAUGCAGGAUUUGGGCCUGGAGAGUGAUGGAGGUUGCCACUUGCCUUGCCACCAUGGCAGAGAGUAAUUUGGGUCCACUGAGCAGAGUGAGUGUCCAAAUCCACUGAGUCCUCGGCAGUGUGGCGUGGUGAGCAUCAGCCUGACAGGGGAUGGUGCGAGAGUUCAGGGUUUGGCUGGGCCCCUCCACAUAGUCCCUGAUUCUCCUAGUCAUGUCCAGUUAUUGCACAUGAGUGUAUCCUGCCUUAACUGCCAUGAUCACACAUUGUGGAAACGGAUGUGGUGUGCCCUGUGUUGCCUGUGCAUAUUGCCAAAUACUGGGCUAAGAAGUUAAGUGCCAGGAGAUAUUUUGGAUGUUAUUCUUUAUCCUCCCAAUGAUAUCUUUCUGUGACUUCCUGAUUUAGAAUCCAUUUUGUCAUCUUUGGCGGUAACAUAUUUCUGAGGUUUAAUUUAUGCAGAUAACUAUGACUUGGAAUGGAUUGUACACUUGGCCAACACUCUCCUGAUACUUUAAGCACACUCAGAUAAUCUGAUUACAUAUUUUAUAUUGGCCAGCAGAAAUUGUUGGACAGUAUUUUCUAGUGCUGUCAUCCAGUCUUUAAGGGCCAGUUCUUAUAUUGAUAAGAUUACAUUCUUCAUAGUGAUUAUUAAUACGCCAAUAAGAAUAAGACUCGGCCCAUGCUAGCCAGCCAUCAGACCUGAGUCACUGAUUGAUGCCUACUCACCUUGACCAAAUAGUGUGGCAGACGGUAGUUUGGAUCCACUGAAGGAAGUGUUUGACUGAAUCUACUAAGUCAUCAGCAGUGUGGCCUGGUGAGCAUCAGUCUGACAGGGAAAUGGAGAAGUACCUUGUGUUAGAGGGUUCAAGAAUUGAAUGGUUCCCUCUGCGUACUCCCCAGAUGUCUUUAAAUAUAUAGUAGUUAGUGUACAUGUGUGGUCCUUCCCCAGGGUCUUUGAUCAUACUGAGUGAAAUUGGAUGCAGCAUAAUCCUGUGAACUCUAUUUUAAAGAAUGAAGGGGGCAUAAGAUGACAGUGACUCAUCAAAAGGAGAACAUCAUUGAAGAGCUAUAACUUAUUAAAAAACAACCAAUAGAAAUUGUGGAGGUGAAAAGUAUAGUGACUGAAAUGGAGAACUUACUAGAGAGGUUCACUGCCAGAUUUGAGAUGGCAGAAAAAAGAGUCACUGAGCAUGAAGACCGAUCUAUAGAAAUUAUCCAAUCUGAAGAAUGGAAUAAAGAAUUAAGAAAAUGAACAGUCUCAUAGACCUGUGGGACAUCAUCAAGUCUACCAAUGUAUAACCACAAUGAAAGUCAAGAAGGAGAGGAGAAAGAGCUAGAGACAGAAAAUAUAUUUGAGGAAAUAGUGAAUGAAAACUUCCAAAAUUUGAUGAAAACCUUAAUAUAUACAGCUUGGAAGCUCAACAGACUCCAAGUUGGACAUGCAGAAAGAGAUUGACACAUAUGUCUAUUGAAAGAGAUGUAAAAGGCCAUAAAACAGUUAGUAUUAAUCUGAGGCAGAUUAUGAUAAAUUAAGAUACAUUUUGUAAACCUUGGAUCCACUUCUAAGAAAAUAACUCAAAAAUAAUAAAAGAACUACCAAAGAAUUAAAAUAGUAAAUUAGAUAAGAUAUACUUAACACAAAAGAAGGUAGUUAAGGAAGAACAGCAGAACAAAAAAGCCAUAAGAACAUGGCAGAUUUAAAUCCAACCAUAUCAACUCUUGCAUUAUAUGUAAAUGGGUUAUCUACUCCAAUCAAAAGGUAGAGACUGUAAUACUACUAAAAAAAAAGAUACAGCUGUACACUAUCUAAAAGACACUCUUUAGAUGAAUAAUUUCAAACUAAAAGGAUGGAAAAAAAAACUGUACAUGCCCACAAUAGCCUAAGAAGUACCAAAGUAGUUAUACUGAUAAGGAGAGAAAAUGUAAUUUUAAAUUAAAAAAAAAAAAGUUACCAGGGAUAUUUUAUGAUGAUAAAAGGGCUGGUUCAUCUGGAAUGUUUAACAAUUGUAAACACAUAUGCACCUAACAACGAUGUCCCAAAAUGCAUAAAGCAAAAACUGACAGAAGACAGAAAUAGACAAUUCAACAGUAAUAGCUGGAGGUUUCAAUAGUGUCUUCUAGAGCCACUUUCCAGGUAUCCCUACCUAUAAUUCUUCAUUUUCCAGGCUGCAGCAACAACAGAAUAGAAUCACUCACUGCCGGAUUCACUCCAAAAAUAUCCUCUGUGCCACAGCUUCACAGAGAGCAGAAUACUUAGUGGCUUGCAAACUAUUUCUUACCUUCAGUACUUGAAAACACAUGGACAAUAGUUGUGAACCUCAGAUAACAUAAAGGGAAGAUAUUUAAGUUAACAUGUCUACAGUUCCUCUAGAAGUUUCCCCAACAAGGAAAAAACAUGGACAAAAUAAUUAUCUUGACUGAGUUACACUAACUUUGAAGUUUCUGACAUUGAAUAAUUACAAGCAAAAUUUGUCUUUUAAUAAAUUGCAUAUGAUUUUAUAUUCUUUUUUGAUAAAAAUGGAAAAAAAACCUUUAUUGGGAAGUUCCUAUAACUUUUGAAAGAUUAGCCAAUGUAUCCAAAUAUUAAUCUCUCUCCUGUGUCUAUGUGUACUAUGCAUGCUUUCAAUAAUUUUAUUUUGUAGUAUCUAUAGCUUUGCUGUACAGUAUGAUAGACACCAGCCAUACAUGGCUAUUUAAAUUUAAAUAUAUAUUAACUAAAAUUAAAUAAUAUAAACUCAGGCCUUUAGUCACACAUUUCAAGUAUUCAAAACUGACAUGCGGCUAGGGUUUACUGCAUUGGAUAGUAGGACAUUCCCAUUGUCACAGAAGGUUCCCUUGGGCAGAAAUGAUCUAGAACUGCUACAUGUAUGCCAGUAUAUAAUAAAUAUGUAGAUAUGAUAAAAAUAAUGUAAUUGAAAUACCGGUUGUUUAAAUAUUAGGAAACUUUAUUUUGGGGGGAGUAUAGAUUUCCAUUUGUGCAUUGGGUAAUUAGCAAGGUUGAGAUCAGUAAAUCACAUUUAAGCCAUUGUUUUUGCAUUUUUAAGGGUACUCUGACUACAGUAAUCAAAUGUGUUUCCUUAUUUUGUCAAAUUUAGACUUUCUAGGUUCAAAAAUGAUUUACAUUAGAGUAUUCUUCAAAAUCAUAGAUAAAAAUACUGUAUUUAUGGAUGGCUUUUAGAUGAAGAAUGGUUAGUGUACUUCGGAUUAUUGCACAUGACUAUGCCCUUUGGCUAGAUUAUUCUUUAGACUGUUGUUUAAAAAAUGAAUAAUUAAUGCAACCUUUCUACAUACUUAGCUAUUAUUGACAUUUAUGUUUUUCUUUAUAGAUGGUCUUGUGAAAAUUGGUAAGCUUGAAAUAAUUUUCUUUUUCCCCUGGAAUUUUUAGGAGCUUUCCUUGGAUACCACCAGGACCAAAAGAAAGGACCCUCCUUUGUCCUCCUUCCCAAUAAAAAGAUGGACUUCUGCCAUGUGGAAGUUUGGGAGCUAGAAAAGGAAGCAUCUUAAAAAUGGACUGCAAACAGAAGAUACACCUCUGGGUGACAAGCAUUUGGCACCAGUCUUCUGUGCUUCCUCAAAAAGGCUGUCAACAAAAUAUUCACAAUCUGUUUGCUGGUUGUCACUAAGAGUUCCCUCAGGGGCCUCGGGGGCCACCGCCGCCGUUUCGCUGGAGCCCCUCGGACCCGGAGCCCCGCCGCCUCGGAACCACCUUCAGUUUCGGCGGGCGCCUCUAUAGAAUAACUUCAUGGGAACUCUUCUGGGAGUGAAUGAUGCCUAUGAAUCUCUGAAACAAAACUCCUCAGUUGAAGCACCUCUUCGUCUAACUAUUUUCCAAGGGCCACCUUCUGAAGAUGGUGACCACAUGGAAGAGGUGGAUUUUUCACAGCUGAUGCCAUUACUUCUACCACCAGCUUCACCCAAAUAAUGAUACAGUCUUCCUUGUGCAUGGAGACUCCCCUCUUUCCUGUGUUGCAGUGGACACCUCCUGCAGAUAAGAAAUGCUUAACUGAGAAAUGCUCAUGUUGGGAUAUCAUCAAUGAGACUUUAAUUUGGGCAUGAUGACGGUUUCCCUUGCUGCCUGACUCAAUCCCAGGAGCCUCAGUAGAGGAAACAUAAUUGCACAAGACGCUCAAAAUGGUGGAAUUGCAAUCUCAGUGCUCCCCUAAAUACACAUUUAUAUUAUUAUAAUUUUCACUUGCUACUUGGUAAAUUUUAAAAAUGAUAUUUUAAAGCUCUGCAUGAUAUUUUCAAAACUUCAAAGCAUAUCUAAAAUAUAAAUUAUGUGCCCUCCCUCUCUCAAUUCUAUCCCCAGUGUUUUCUUCUAUUAAGGGAAUGUGUGCAUUCUCUUAGUUUAUGCACACGAGUACACACACAAGCUUUUUGUGGGGGGAGUUCUGGAAGUUGGGCCAUAUUGUACACACUCUUCUGCAAAUUACCUUUCACCUAACGGUCUUUUAAAUGGCCCUUCACUAUUUCUGUAAUAUACUUCUGUGCCAUUUGUUGAAUGACUCUAUGACUGUUUUGUAGAUGAAAUAUAAUUAAAUACCUUAAGCCUUUCUCAUUCAUAGAUAUUUAUAUUAGCACCAAAUUUCUGUGCAAUAAACCUCCCUAUAUAUAAAUUAAUUUUCAUUGGUCUAUUGUCUCAUAAUAAAUUGCUGAUAUUAAGGAUAUGCACAUUUCAAAUUUUUAAAAUUAUCACAAAAUUUCCUUUAAAAUGUGAUAACAACUUUGUCCUCAAAUAGCAAUGAAUGAGAUUGCCAGAUAUCCCAUAACCUUACAGAUAGUGGAUAUUAUAAAUAUUUUAAAUCUUUGCCAAUGCGAUAGCCCAAACUAUUGUCUUAAGUUGUAUUUCUUUUGUUUUCAUUGCAUUUGAUCAUUUUUCAUAGGUUUAUUGGCCAUUUGUAUUUUUAAAUCUCUUUUUUUAUGUCCACAUUUGGGGUGGGUGAAGAUUUUAAUCUCUUCCUUAUUUUGAAGAACUCAUUUAUUAUUUAGGAAAUAAGCUUUGGAUUGUCAAGCAUUACAUUUUUUAUCCACUUUUCAAACUUUGUUUUUUGUUAAAAGAAUGUUUAUAAUUGUUAAAUGUUCAAGUAUAACCAUGUUUGCUUUUAUGGCUUCUCAAUUUCAUGACAUUUUUGGAAAAAUAUUUAUACUGAGCCCAUAAAACUCUUCGCUUAUGCUGACUUCUAAUUCUUUUCUGUUAUUUUUAAUUCAAAUUCUUAAUUCAUGAGGAAUGGGUUUGUUUUGGAAUAUUAAAGUUGUCAAGUAUUUACCAUUAUUUGCCAUUAUUUGCUAAUGAUUGCCCAUUUAUCUGUAAUGCCAUCUUGCACAUAUGCUGUAUUCUCAUCUGUGACUGGCUCCAUUUCUUUCUGUGAAUCUGUGUGUCUCUUUUUUGCCUUCUGUCUCGUGUCUUCUCGUUGGAAAGAAUUACAGUUUAGACUGCAAUUUCAUCAACUUUAAUUAAUUUAGGGGGGAAUUGGUAUUUGAUAAUAUUGUCUUCUUCAAGGACAAGGUAUGUUUCUCUUUUUAUUCAAUAAUUUUUGUUGCUGUUAUUAGUUUAACUUUUGUGAUGGGGGAAUUUUCUUUCAGUUUAUUUUCUUACUGAUUUUUCUGUAUUUGACAGUUUUAUGGGGUUCUUUUGGUUUGUUUUUGGAAGUUCAGUGGUUACCUUACUGUUCUAGUUGCUUUUCAGAUUACUGUCUUUUCAAAGUAUGCAAGUAAAUUCUUUGCAAAUACUACUGAUUUUGAUUCUGCCCUUCCAAUUUAUCUGUGUUUGGUUAUGUUCAUAUGCACUUAUUGAUACUUUCAGAGCACUUGAUUGUGGAAAUAUUUCCUACCCUUGAUUUAAUCAGGUUUUAAUGGGAAUAUUUCCUGGAUUUGACCAGCACAUUGUUGAUAGUCUCUUACUCAAAAAGGCCACCACAAACUGCUGUGAGCAAGCAAAGAGGAGUUUAUUAAAUUCACUGCAGCAAGGGAAAACACCGUCUUGAUAGGGGUUUAAUAGUGUUCAAAAGUGGGAAAUUAAUGCUACGGGGUCUGGACUGUAAUAAUUUAAGGUGGGUUUUUUCUAGAUAAGGAAUUGGUUCGGAAUGGAAAAUUCAUGUUGCCUUGGUACAGUGAGGUGGGACUCUUGAUAUGAGUCUUGUUUUGUGGAAUUGCUGUCUGGUAAGUGACCUGUUCGCCUAUGUGAGUAAGGAAAUAUCAGUGAUAGAGGAGCUGUUUGCUUAGAUAGCAAAAUGUGAUUUUAUUUAUUGGUUAGUAGUUUUAUCUUGCUGGGAAGGGCUUUCCUGGGAUGCUUUCAGAGCUUAGUCUCUACAAAUAAAAUUAUUUCGAUGUGGUGGUCUCAGUCAUCAAAGUUAGAAGCUUAUUAUAAAUCUGUGCUGUUUUUAUCAUGUUAGGAAAGUCUCCUUUUUUAUUUUUCUAAGAAAUUUUAAUCAAAACUAGGUGGAUAUAAUCAAAUGGUUCUCACAUAAACAACCAAUUGUAUUAUUCUUCUUUUACACUUUUAUCAUUGUGAAAUUGAUCAUUUUCUGUUAUUGAAACCUCCUUUUAUCCCUUGAAUGCAUGCUAUUUGGUUAAAAAAAGUUUUACUCAUAAAUUCCUGUUGAAUUUUGGUAUUUUAGUUUGUUUUGGAGUUUUGCAAGUAUACUGUUAAGUGAAAUUGAUCUGCAAUUUUCUUUUUUGUGCUAUUUUUGUCAUGUUUUUACAUCAGAUUUUCUAGUUGGGUUACAAUAAUUUUGAGGAUUUUGUUUUUACUCUAUUCUAGAAUGGGUUAAAAAGGUCUUGCUUACUUUCAGUGGUUUAGGUGAACACAUCAUAUGAAUUCUGUUUUUGUUGGUUUAGAGUGAAAGUGAUGCUAACUGCCUAGAAAAACUUUCUCACAUUCUGUUAUGGUUAUUGCUUGUUUUUUGUUUGUUUGUUUGUUUUAUAUCUUUUUUGUUUUAUAUCUUAUUUUUGUGAAUUUUUUUAUUUUCCAAGGUAUUUAUUCUUUCUGUAUUCCUUUGGCUUUUCUUUCCUAAUAAACUUUUAAACAUCUGUGUAAUCCA